rnacentral:rRNA from 1 species
GAUGAACGCUGGCGGCGUGCCUAAUACAUGCAAGUCGAGCGAACAGACGAGGAGCUUGCUCCUCUGACGUUAGCGGCGGACGGGUGAGUAACACGUGGAUAACCUACCUAUAAGACUGGGAUAACUUCGGGAAACCGUAGCUAAUACCGGAUAAUAUAUUGAACCGCAUGGUUCAAUAGUGAAAGACGGUUUUGCUGUCACUUAUAGAUGGAUCCGCGCCGCAUUAGCUAGUUGGUAAGGUAACGGCUUACCAAGGCAACGAUGCGUAGCCGACCUGAGAGGGUGAUCGGCCACACUGGAACUGAGACACGGUCCAGACUCCUACGGGAGGCAGCAGUAGGGAAUCUUCCGCAAUGGUCGAAAGCCUGACGGAGCAACGCCGCGUGAGUGAUGAAGGUCUUCGGAUCGUAAAACUCUGUUAUUAGGGAAGAACAAAUGUGUAAGUAACUAUGCACGUCUUGACGGUACCUAAUCAGAAAGCCACGGCUAACUACGUG